rfam:Cucumis melo, WGS project CAJI01000000 data, contig: 18104
GUCCCUUUGUGGACCUCGGAAAAAUUGAAAUGAUACCAAGAAUUAAGAUUAGCAUGGCCCUUGUGUAAGAAUGACACACACAAAUCGAGAAAUUGUCUAAAUUAAA